UUUCAAAAGCUCAUCUCUAGUGUAUGUGGUUGCAUUGCAGAUUGUACACAAAUCAUUUGCUGUAUCAAUAAUACAUUUCCUACUUUAAGGGACACUUCAGCUGUAGUAACUGAAAAUCAGCUCCUUGCAAGCAUAGAUCAGUCCUAGGUUAUCCAGUGGGCAAAACCUGCAAUAUGUCAUCUAGACCAGGCGGUCUUCAGCUGCAGGAAUCACAAGAUAUGCCAAGAGGUCAAAGGAAGGGUAGGCAUAUAGGGUAUCAGUCUGUCUCAUCCUCCUGCCCUCUGUUUGACCACCCUACCCUCGAAGUAAAUGUCACCAAGGUGCUGAUUACACCAACAGGAGCAGAUGGAGGCAAUCUGAGCCCAUAGUUCCUGCUUUCCAGGGGAAGUGUCCUAAACCCAUAUGACAAGGCCGCAAGAAAUGGAGGAAGAAAAUCUCAUCAACAGCGAGCCAGCAAAAGAGCAACAGAUAAACAGAUAUUAGUCAAAGAAGAAAACACACUCCAGCUAUGAACAACAGUACAAGCAUAAAUGGGAAAAAAGUCUAUGCAAUUAUGAAUGAAUAUCUUAAAGAGCUAGAAAGCAGAAAG
rnacentral:lncRNA from 1 species